UCUAGUCCAGUGCGGGACCUUUAGUGAGCGCGGGUGGCUAGUGUGCUGUGGGGUUGGCAAUGAGGGGAACCGGGAGGAGGAGAGGAAAGGCUUCCGACACCCGAUCCCAGCCUUCCGCACAAGCCUCAGCAAAGCCCUGGGGUGGCAGCCGAACCCCGCGGCUGUGCACACACACGGGAGGAGCCACCAGCGACGAUCGGGGACCAGGACCCCGCGGGAUGAUCCUCACCGGGGGGCACUGCACCCCCCGGCACCGCCACCCGAACCCUAGCCUAGCUCGGAGAGCAGAGCAGAGGGAGCCGAGAGAGCCGCGCAGGGGCGGUGUCGCCACGGCGCGGGGAUUUCGAGAGAAGAUGGAUUCCUGUUACUUACGUCUGCGACCACGUACCUUUAAAAAAAAUAAAUAAAUAAAAGACUACAACCGGAAUCCAGGCUGUCAGGGAACCUGCACCACAAACACCAUCUUUGUUGCAGGCAAAAAGCCCUGGACAGGAAGUACUGUAGCCAUCUUUGUGGAGGGCAGGGGAAGGAAGUGUGGUAGCCAUCUUUGUUGAGGGCCCAAGAGGUCAGGUUGACGCUUUCUCCGCCAUGGUUGCUGAAAGGAAUACU